rnacentral:lncRNA from 1 species
AUAAUCUCAAAUACGCCGAAUUCGUCACCAAGAUCGACAAAAAAUAAAUCGAUAAGUUCGUAAUCUAUUGAUUUCUUACGGUUUUCUUCUGACAUAAAAGUUUCCUCGCAGUUGUUGGUAUAUAUUUUUUGGUGUAUUUUUUGGAUUUUUAUGCUUUUUUUUUUGUGGAUUGUGGAUUUGAAGGCAUGUAAUGCGAGUUGCGGAUCACGAAGAUGAUAAAUUGGAAGUGCUUUACAAGAAG